CUACGGGUCGCUGCAGUGAGGAAUUUUGCGCAAUGGGGGAAACCCUGACGCAGCAACGCCGCGUGAGUGAAGAAGGCCCUUGGGUCGUAAAGCUCUGUCAAUGGGGAAGAAGUUACUUGGUAUUAAUAGUGCCUUGUAUUGACGGUACCCAUGAAGGAAGCACCGGCUAACUCCGUGCCAGCAGCCGCGGUAAUACGGGGGGUGCAAGCGUUAUUCGGAAUUAUUGGGCGUAAAGGGCACGCAGGCGGUCCUGUCAGUCAGAUGUGAAAGCCCGGGGCUCAACCCCGGACGUGCAUUUGAAACAGCAGGACUUGAGUACGGGAGAGGAAAGGGGAAUUCCUGGUGUAGAGGUGAAAUUCGUAGAUAUCAGGAGGAACACCGGUGGCGAAGGCGCCUUUCUGGACCGAUACUGACGCUGAGGUGCGAAGGCGUGGGUAGCGAACGGGAUUAGAUACCCCCGUAGUC
rnacentral:rRNA from 1 species